rnacentral:rRNA from 1 species
GCCCAGAUGGGAUUAGCUUGUUGGUGAGGUAACGGCUCACCAAGGCGACGAUCCCUAGCUGGUCUGAGAGGAUGACCAGCCACACUGGAACUGAGACACGGUCCAGACUCCUACGGGAGGCAGCAGUGGGGAAUAUUGCACAAUGGGCGCAAGCCUGAUGCAGCCAUGCCGCGUGUAUGAAGAAGGCCUUCGGGUUGUAAAGUACUUUCAGCGGGGAGGAAGGUGUUGUGGUUAAUAACCGCAGCAAUUGACGUUACCCGCAGAAGAAGCACCGGCUAACUCCGUGCCAGCAGCCGCGGUAAUACGGAGGGUGCAAGCGUUAAUCGGAAUUACUGGGCGUAAAGCGCACGCAGGCGGUCUGUCAAGUCGGAUGUGAAAUCCCCGGGCUCAACCUGGGAACUGCAUUCGAAACUGGCAGGCUUGAGUCUUGUAGAGGGGGGUAGAAUUCCAGGUGUAGCGGUG